rnacentral:rRNA from 1 species
UACGAAGGGGGCUAGCGUUGUUCGGAUUUACUGGGCGUAAAGCGCACGUAGGCGGAUCUUUAAGUCAGAGGUGAAAUCCCAAGGCUCAACCUUGGAACUGCCUUUGAUACUGGGGAUCUUGAGUCCGGGAGAGGUGAGUGGAACUGCGAGUGUAGAGGUGAAAUUCGUAGAUAUUCGCAAGAACACCAGUGGCGAAGGCGGCUCACUGGCCCGAUACUGACGCUGAGGUGCGAAAGCGUGGGGAGCAAACAGG